rnacentral:rRNA from 1 species
UACGUAGGCAGCAAACGUUGUUCGGAAUUACUGGGCGUAAAGCGCGCGUAGGCGGCUUUGCAAGUCGGGUGUGAAAUCCCCAGGCUUAACCUGGGAACUGCAUUCGAGACUGCAUUGCUAGAGUAUGGGAGAGGGAAGUGGAAUUUCCGGUGUAGCGGUGAAAUGCGUAGAUAUCGGAAGGAACAUCAGUGGCGAAAGCGACUUCCUGGACCAAUACUGACGCUCAUGUGCGAAAGCGUGGGGAGCAAACAGG